rnacentral:rRNA from 1 species
UCAGAACGAACGCUGGCGGCGCGCCUAAUACAUGCAAGUCGAACGAGAAGGCGUAGCAAUACGCUUGUAAAGUGGCGAACGGGUGAGGAAUACAUGGGUAACCUACCCUCGAGUGGGGGAUAACCAGCCGAAAGGUUGGCUAAUACCGCGUACGCUUCCGGGACUGCGGUUUCGGAAGGAAAGCGAUACCGUGGGUAUCGCGCUCUUGGAUGGGCUCAUGUCCUAUCAGCUUGUUGGUGAGGUAAUGGCUCACCAAGGCUUCGACGGGUAGCUGGUCUGAGAGGACGAUCAGCCACACUGGCACUGCGACACGGGCCAGACUCCUACGGGAGGCAGCAGUAAGGAAUAUUGCGCAAUGGGCGACAGCCUGACGCAGCGACGCCGCGUGGGGGAUGAAGGUCUUCGGAUUGUAAACCCCUUUCGGCAGGGAAGAUGGAAUGGGUAACCAUUCGGACGGUACCUGCAGAAGCAGCCACGGCUAACUUCGUGCCAGCAGCCGCGGUAAUACGAAGGUGGCAAGCGUUGUUCGGAUUUACUGGGCGUACAGGGAGCGUAGGCGGUUGGGUAAGCCCUCCGUGAAAUCUCCGGGCCUAACCCGGAAAGGGCGGAGGGGACUGCUUGGCUAGAGGAUGGGAGAGGAGCGCGGAAUUCCCGGUGUAGCGGUGAAAUGCGUAGAGAUCGGGAGGAAGGCCGGUGGCGAAGGCGGCGCUCUGGAACAUUUCUGACGCUGAGGCUCGAAAGCGUGGGGAGCAAACAGGAUUAGAUACCCUGGUAGUCCACGCCUUAAACGAUGGAUACUAAGUGUCGGCGGGUUACCGCCGGUGCCGCAGCUAACGCAGUAAGUAUCCCGCCUGGGAAGUACGGCCGCAAGGUUGAAACUCAAAG